rnacentral:snRNA from 1 species
AUACGUACCUGGCAGGGGAGCUGUUGUCCAUGGUCAUGCAUGCGGGUGAGGCUCUGCCACAUUGCCCUCUGCUUGUGCUGACCCGUACGAUUUCCCCAAAGGCAGAAAACUCAACUGCAUAUUUUGUGGUAGAGGGGGAGACUGUGUUCGUGCUCUUCCCUG